UUGUGUUUCUACCAGUACAGCACUUGACCUUAGGAGUGAUUAGAUAGGCAUCAUGUUUAUCAAAUUUUCAUGGUUGAUUACUUGUGAUCAUCAAUCAUGUGUACGUGUAGGUUUGAUCACCUUUUACUUCUUCCUCAUUAUCCUUUCAAGCUUGUGAACUUCUCAUGCUGCUGCUGCACCUGACAAUAUUGGGCACACACUGAAAGUAGGCGACACUCUCAAUUCCUCUAGUGCCUUAGUUUCUGCCUCUGCGGACCUGCCAUGUAUGCAACUCAUACAUGAAUUCUAAUGGACCUGCUGGUGUGAUGGACUUCAAAAUGAUGGAAGGGUGGGUCAUGGUUUAAGCGUAUUUAGUUUUACAUCUGUGCUGGAGGCCACAUGCAACUUCUCUGAAGAAAACAAGCUUGGAGAAGGGGGAUUUGGACCUGUUUAUAAGGGAAAACUAGUGAUGGGACAAGAAAUAGCAGUGAAGAGGCUCUCAAAAUGUUCCGGGCAAGGAACUUUAGAGUUUAAGAAUGAAUUGAUCCUCAUAUAUGAACUUCAACAUACAAACCUUGUUCAGCUUUAUGGAUUUUGAUUGCAUUCAUGGUGAAGAGAGGAUCUUGAUAUAUGAGUACAUGCCAAACAAGAGUUUAGACUACUUUUUAUUUGGUAAACUAGUAGACAAUUUGGUAAUUGUUUCUUUUGUUCUGCAUGAAGAAUCAAGGGUGGACCGCCAUUUAGCUACUAACUAUGUAGUUCAAUAAUUAAAACCAUCCAUUCAUUAGGUCACUCUUCAAGGAUUUUACUUACAAGAAUCAGCCAUGUUAUUGGUCAUCCCAUUUGUGCAGAUAAUCAGAGUCAAUUUGUCUGAUGAAAGUGGAAUGCAGAUAACAGUAAUUUGAAUGGCUGAAUAACUCCUGACUUGGCUGAUAUUUGACCAUGAUUAUCCUUGAAUGAGGACCUAAAAAGUAGAUGGCCCUUAGCAUUGAACUGCAGUUGUAGGAGAAAGUGCGCAAACAUGAAGGUCCAUUCUGAAUCUUCUUGUAUAUAUCUGUAUUACUUAAUUUCUAAAUUUCUUUACAUAUUGGCCAGAUUCAACCAGAGGCGUUCUUCUAGAUUGGAAUAGGCGUUUCAGCAUAAUUGAAGGAAUUGCUCAAGGUUUUCUUUCUUUGCACAAAUACUCAAGAAAGAGAGUAGUUCACAAAGAUCUAAAAGCCAGUAACAAUCUACUUGAUCAAAAUAUGAAUCCAAAAAUUUCUGAUUUUGGUAUGGCAAGGAUUUUUGCGCAUAACGAAUUAGAAGCAAAUACUAGUAGGAUUGUUGGGACUCGUGGUUAUGCCUCCUGAGUAUGCCAUGGAAGGAUUUUUUUCCACAUUCUGAAAUCAUAAGCGGUAGGAAAAACAACAGAUUCUACAAUGACGAUCGUGGGCUCAAUUUAGUAGGAUGUUAAACAAAUCUCAGCAGUAAUGAUUGUAUCAGUGAGAUACGGAACUGAUAUAAACUAAUCUUGUUAAUUUCAGGCAUGGAAGUUAUGGAAAGAAGGUGCAGGGCUAAAUUUAAUGGAUACAACACUAGGCAUAUCAUUCAAUACGGAUCAACUGUUAAGAUGCGUCCAUGUUGGUCUGCUAUGUGUUGAGGAUAAUGCAGCCAAUCGACCUACGAUGUCAGAUGCAAUAUCUCUGUUGAUAUCUGAAAGCUUGCCAUUACCUGCACCUACAAAGCCUGCAUUUUCGGCAGAAAGGAAUGCGCCUAUUGCUGGUAUAGUCGGGACGGAACCAGAAAUUUUAUCAGUAAAUGGUUUGACCAUUUCUAAUUUAGUUGCACGUUAGAGGUACUUAAAUAUUGCAUACGGGUUCUAGCUCAUCAACUAGUAUUGAGAUGGGUGAGAAAGUGGUAGUUUUCGGUUUGAUUUAUGCUUGUUGUGCCGCAAUGUUUUGUACAUCCAAGUGUUUUAGUACUUUGGUUAGAAUGUUAUUACCAUAACCAAGUUUCCCCAAUGGCCGUUGCUCAGUUGGUAAUGAAAUCUUGGCCUUGGACCCUGUCAUUAGUUGUGGCACAUUCUUUUCUCCAGAGGAAACUUGGUGAUAAGAGUAAUAUGUGGCUGUUUAACUGUAACAACUUCACUGAACCUAAUUCUAAUGGGCAUUACAAGCUUAUA